GACGAACGCUGGCGGCGUGCUUAACACAUGCAAGUCGAACGAUGAAGCCGGAGCUUGCUCUGGUGGAUUAGUGGCGAACGGGUGAGUAACACGUGAGUAACCUGCCCUUGACUCUGGGAUAAGCGUUGGAAACGACGUCUAAUACCGGAUACGAGCUAGGACCGCAUGGUCACUAGCUGGAAAGAACUUCGGUCAAGGAUGGACUCGCGGCCUAUCAGCUAGUUGGUGAGGUAACGGCUCACCAAGGCGACGACGGGUAGCCGGCCUGAGAGGGUGACCGGCCACACUGGGACUGAGACACGGCCCAGACUCCUACGGGAGGCAGCAGUGGGGAAUAUUGCACAAUGGGCGCAAGCCUGAUGCAGCAACGCCGCGUGAGGGACGACGGCCUUCGGGUUGUAAACCUCUUUUAGCAGGGAAGAAGCGCAAGUGACGGUACCUGCAGAAAAAGCACCGGCUAACUACGUGCCAGCAGCCGCGGUAAAAC
rnacentral:rRNA from 1 species